CGAGCUUAACCAGGCAAAGCUCCGGCUCCGGCGAUCCGCACAGAUGUCCUAAAUUUCGAACAAAAAUCAUGUUUCUAGCAACAACCUAAUUUUCUGUACAAAACGAGAAAACUAUACAUAAGCACACAGAAGAAUAACAUUUUACCCUAAUUUAAUUUGCUCCACCUUUUUUUUUUUGCUGUUCAAUUUGUUCUUUGUAAAUGAUGAACCAUUAUACAUAUAUGAAAAAUGGAAAACAAGUUCCGAUCUUUUUUCAAAUCUCG
rnacentral:lncRNA from 1 species